AGAGUUUGAUCCUGGCUCAGGAUGAACGCUAGCGGCAGGCUUAACACAUGCAAGUCGAGGGGUAUAGUUCUUCGGAACUAGAGACCGGCGCACGGGUGCGUAACGCGUAUGCAAUCUACCUUUUACAGAGGGAUAGCCCAGAGAAAUUUGGAUUAAUACCUCAUAGUGUAUUUGAAUGGCAUCGUUUAAAUACUAAAGUCACAACGGUAAAAGAUGAGCAUGCGUCCCAUUAGCUAGUUGGUAAGGUAACGGCUUACCAAGGCAACGAUGGGUAGGGGUCCUGAGAGGGAGAUCCCCCACACUGGUACUGAGACACGGACCAGACUCCUACGGGAGGCAGCAGUGAGGAAUAUUGGACAAUGGGCGCAAGCCUGAUCCAGCCAUGCCGCGUGCAGGAUGACGGUCCUAUGGAUUGUAAACUGCUUUUGUACAGGAAGAAACACUCCCUCGUGAGGGAGCUUGACGGUACUGUAAGAAUAAGGAUCGGCUAACUCCGUGCCAGCAGCCGCGGUAAUACGGAGGAUCCAAGCGUUAUCCGGAAUCAUUGGGUUUAAAGGGUCCGUAGGCGGCUUAAUAAGUCAGUGGUGAAAGCCCUACGCUUAACGUAGGAACGGCCAUUGAUACUGUUAGGCUUGAAUUAUUAGGAAGUAACUAGAAUAUGUAGUGUAGCGGUGAAAUGCUUAGAGAUUACAUGGAAUACCAAUUGCGAAGGCAGGUUACUACUAAUGGAUUGACGCUGAUGGACGAAAGCGUGGGUAGCGAACAGGAUUAGAUACCCUGGUAGUCCACGCCGUAAACGAUGGAUACUAGCUGUUGGGAGCAAUCUCAGUGGCUAAGCGAAAGUGAUAAGUAUCCCACCUGGGGAGUACGUUCGCAAGAAUGAAACUCAAAGGAAUUGACGGGGGCCCGCACAAGCGGUGGAGCAUGUGGUUUAAUUCGAUGAUACGCGAGGAACCUUACCAGGGCUUAAAUGUAGAUUGACAGGACUAGAGAUAGUUUUUCCUUCGGGCAAUUUAAAAUUUGCUUCAAGAGGAUAUGCUUUAGAAAAGUAUCAUGAGUUUUUAAAUGAAAAUCCUAAACUGGAAGAAACCUCGAAUAAUUUAAGUUCAGCUUCCUCUGUUGCUAAUUGGACGCCUCUUGGACCUUUUGGAUCUCCCGCAGGAGGAGGCGCUGGUCGAAUUCAAGUAAUCUGUGCUAACCCAACAAAUACAAAUAGUUUUUAUGUUGGUUCAGCUGCUGGUGGAUUUUGGAUAACAAACAAUGGAGGGAUUUCCUAUACAACAACAACAGAUCAAUUAGGGUC
rnacentral:rRNA from 1 species